ACGCACGCUGGCGGCGUGCUUCACACAUGCAAGUCGCACGGAAAGGCCCUGCUUGCAGGGUGCUCGAGUGGCGAACGGGUGAGUAACACGUGGGUGAUCUGCCCCUUACUUUGGGAUAAGCCUGGGAAACUGGGUCUAAUACUGGAUAGGACCAUGCUGUAGGUGGUGUGGUGGAAAGAUUAGUUUCGGUAAGGGAUGAGCUCGCGGCCUAUCAGCUUGUUGGUGGGGUAAUGGCCUACCAAGGCGUCGACGGGUAGCCGGCCUGAGAGGGUGGACGGCCACAUUGGGACUGAGAUACGGCCCAGACUCCUACGGGAGGCAGCAGUGGGGAAUAUUGCACAAUGGGCGCAAGCCUGAUGCAGCGACGCCGCGUGGGGGAUGACGGCCUUCGGGUUGUAAACUCCUUUCAGCCAUGACGAAGCCCUUGUGGUGACGGUAGUGGUAGAAGAAGCACCGGCUAACUACGUG
rnacentral:rRNA from 1 species